GACGAACGCUGGCGGCGUGCUUAAUACAUGCAAGUCGAACGGAAAGGCCCCUUUCGGGGUCCUCGAGCGGUGGAGGGGGGCGUAACACGAACGUAACCUGCACUUGACUUCGGGAUAACGUCAGGAAACUGGGGCUAAUACCGGUAAGGAAUCAUUGCUGCAUGGGGGGGGUUCGAAAGCUACGGCGGGUUUGGCUGUCCGCGCGGCUUAUCUGCGCGUUGGUGUGGUAGUGGCUUACCAACGCUUCGACGGGUAGCCGGCCUGAGAGGGCGACCGGGCACAUUGGGACUGAGAUACGGCCCAGACGCGUACGGGAGGCAGUGGUGGGGAGUAUUGCAGAAUGGGCGGGAGCCUGAUGCAGCAACGCCGCGAGCGGGAUGCCGGCUUUCGGGUUGUAAACAGCUUUCAGCAGGGGCGAAGCUUGUGGUGCGGGUACCUGUAGAAGAAGCACGGGCUACUUCCGU
rnacentral:rRNA from 1 species